rfam:Oryza sativa Japonica Group DNA, chromosome 6, cultivar: Nipponbare, complete sequence.
UCUGGUUUCCGUGUUCAACGUUUGACCGUCCGUCUUAUUUGAAAAAAUUAUGAAAAAAAUUAAAAAGACAAAUCACGCAUAAAAUAUUAAUCAUGUUUUAUUAUCUAACAACAAUGAAAAUAUAAAUUAUAAAAAAAUUUCAUGUAAGACGGACCACCAAAGUUGGACACAAAAAUCUAAAGUUUGCUUUUUU